rnacentral:lncRNA from 1 species
UCCAAGGAAACAAUCAAAAGAGAGAAAAGAUGUAAUAUAUAGCUAACAUUUAUUGAGCUCUAAUUUUGUGCCAGACACUGAUUCAUUUAAUCUGCGUAAUAACUAUGAAUUCGGUAUUAUUUCCAUUUUAGGAAUAAGGACACCAGAGAGGUGAAGUUAUUGCACCAACUAGUAAACAUUAAAGCUGAGAUUCGAACCCUGGGAAUCCGAGCCCAGGCCUGCGUAUUUCAUGUUUGGACGUUCAUCACGGCCUUGUCAGUCCACUUACAUGGGUUUAGCCAAAUAAAUUGUGCUACAUACGACUGAGAGUUAAUAUACAAGCAUCAAGCAUGUUUUACCCUCAGACCUACAGUGUCUGUGUGUGCAUAUAUACAAUGCCAAUAUUCCCUAUAUCAUAGCAUGCAAUAUAUUUCAAACCAGGACGAACUGUAGCGACCUGCUUCACUCCGCCCAAACGCCCAGGCCUGUAAUUACAGCAGCAUCACACUUCUAUUAAAUGCCACAGUGGUGACGGCUGGAUCCACCCCCAGCCUUUUCCUGGAAUUUUGUCCCUCUGGUAGUGUGCUGCACUGCCCUAGGUGCCCUCUCAGCUCAUCUUGUCCUGAGAGAUCCCUAGGGUGCCGGGUCACAUACCAGACACAGCUGCCCCUACCAGACCGCACCCCCACACGCAUUCCUUCACUUCCGGCCUCCUCACCAGGGAGCUCUCUGCUGCCACCUACUGACUCUCACAAGUCCUGCUCUGCUGGAUUGUGCAUGCUCCGAGGAUGUCCACUGCUCUUAAACUCUUCCGGCCCUCUAGCCUUUUCCCUCUUCCCUCCCAAGGAUGGAGCAAGGGCUUCCUUUAAUUCCCCACAACCUUUCAGACCCCAGGUAUAACCAGGAGGCGUCUGAAUCCGUGCAAAGAAAAGAAGUAAGUCUACUGGAAGAGUUCCAUGUCGACACAGUGAAAUACCUGGCAAAUCAACAUGCCUUGAUGGGACCUCCAUAUCUGCAUCUGCAAGAAGGGGGUGAAUGCUUGUCUACCUGUGGACUCAAGUCAAAGGAGCAGUAACCUGAAGGUAACUUCAAGUCCCUACACCCAAGACGGAUACUGCCUUGAACUUUUAUAUGAAACCUUUCCUGCUGUCACCCAGGUUUUACAGGGGCACAAUUAUAGAAGGGAAGACAGUUGACAACUUAAGCUUUACACGUUCAAAACUGACUCUUGAUCGUCGACCAGUAACCCCUCCCACCCCCCCACCCCCCCCCCCCCAAAAAAGUGCUCUUCUCCCAGGCACACACUUCCUGGUCAAUCUCAGUUAACAGCAGCUUCAUCCUUUCGGUUGCACAGGC